AUUGAACGCUGGCGGCAGGCCUAACACAUGCAAGUCGAGCGGCAGAACGGUGCUUGCUCCUGGUUUCAGCGGCCGACUGGUGAGUGAUGCCUAGGUAUCUCCCUGUCUGCUUUUGAUAACGUCCUGACGCGGGCGCUAAUACCGCAAUACUGCAGACGGCGUACGUGGGGGAUCUUCGGAUCUUCCGCCCUUAGAUGAGCCUAGGACGGAUUAGCUAGUUGGUGGGGUAAAGGCCUACCAAGGCGACGAUCCGUAACUGGUCUGAGAGGAUGAUCAGACACACUGGAACUGAGACACGGUCCAGACUCCUACGGGAGGCAGCAGUGGGGAAUAUUGGACAACGGGCGAAAGCCUGAUCCAGCCAUGCCGCGUGUGUGAAGAAGGUCUUCGGAUUGUAAAGCACUUUUAGUGGGGAAGAAAAGCAGUAAGUUAAUACCUUGCUGUUUUGACGGUACCAAAAGAAUAAGCACCGGCUAACUUCGUG
rnacentral:rRNA from 1 species